rnacentral:lncRNA from 12 species
GCACACGUCUGUGGUUGCUCCAUCAUGCGAAAAUUGUGCUUAUGUGUCAAGUACCUUCAGUUAAGGAGUUUCUUCCAGAAGGACAAGAGGCAGAGUCUGUAGACACUUCGUUCACUGUUCAAACCCCUGUGGAGGAGUUCAAGUCCUCUUCACCUCUACAGGAGGAACCAGAGCCUGAACCUGAGCCUGAGCCUGAGGAGCUUCAAGAGGAGGAGGAGCCCAGGGACUCAAGUGAAGCCGAAGAAGAACCUGAGCCGAUCACUCAGCAACCUCAGUCCAUUACCAGCGCCUCUGUCUCACGAACUGAUUCACCGGUAAUUCAUGUGUACUGUCCUUCUAACUUUAAACUUGGACAAGGUCUUCAUGUUAGUCCUCCAGCUUUAUCUCUCUUACAUUGUUUUACUUUUGUGACUUUCGCAGAUACUUAUUACUCAUUGUGUACACCAAGUAUGCUAUAUAAAACUCGCUCAGAAGUUAGAUCGAAUAAAGUACACUGUGCACACAUGCACAGUACUGUAG